AUGAAAACUAAUAGGAUAUUAUCCAAAAAUAUCUGUAUCUAUAUUCGAUAAUAUUUGGAUCCGGUCGGAUACGGAUACAGAUAUAAUUUUAGAGAGUUAAAUUUUUUCGAAUAUUCGAAACAAAGAAUAUGGAUGUGAAUAUCGAGUAUUCGAGAGUUAAAUUUUUUCGAAUAUUCGAGACUUUAGUUUUAAUAUUUUAUAUUAUUUAUAUUUUCGGAUCCGCCCGGUCAAAUUUCGCCCGCCCACCUCUGCCCAAAUCUCUUUUCUCCAAAUUUAAUCUUUCUUGUCUAUUCCUCUAAUUUAUUACUAACCAAGGUACGGAGGGAUGAUUAAUACAUAUUUUGAAAAAUUAAGAUAAUUUUUUAUAUUAUUCGAUUAUUUUAUAAUGAGUUGUAUAUUAAAAUUAUAUAUUUUAUAUGUGAAAAAAUAUAGUUGAAAAAUAAGGUAGAAAAAUAAAGUACUUUUUUUAUAUAUGUGUAUUUUAAUAUAUAUUAUUAUUUGAAUAAAAAUAUUUGAUUCAUAUUCGAAUUCAAAAAAUAUCUGAACAUCUCCGAAUCCAUUUCAGCUGAUAUGGUAAUAAAAAUUUAGCAUCCGACCUAUAUCUGUAUUUGAAUUCGUAUUUAAAAAAAAAAGAAGAUGCGAAUAUAAUUUCAUCAAAUAUCCGACCAUUUUCUAUAAU
rnacentral:lncRNA from 1 species